rnacentral:lncRNA from 1 species
GCUGUUUACUGUGUAUGGAGCUGACCAUCAUAGCAUUGUAGACUGUUGAAAAUUAUAUUAUUUAUACAUGAUUAAAAUUAUUUUUUAUAUAUUAUUUUCGUUUACUUCUAAACCCCUCUAAGAUAAGAACUCCACCACUGGUUGAAAGUUUCUUCAUUGUGAUUCUGAAGUUUUAUGUCUGCUACAAAGCUUGGAGUACAGCUUUUCAUUAGAAACAUAUUUUUUUAAAGUUUCAUAUAUCAGUGUAUGCCACUUUCUGCAACUAGCACUCCAAAUAUCAGCAUAUGCCACUUUCUGCAAUGAGUACACAACAUUCUUUAGUAAAGGGCAGAAUAGUUUGCUCUGUGCUCAUUGCG